rnacentral:rRNA from 1 species
GAACACCAGUGGCGAAGGCGGCUGUCUGGUCUGUAACUGACGCUGAGCUCGAAAGUAUGGGUAGCAAACAGGAUUAGAUACCUGGUAGUCCAUACCGUAAACGAUGAAUGCUAAGUGUUGGAGGGUUCCGCCCUUCAGUGCUGCAGCUAACGCAUUAAGCAUUCCGCUGGGGAGUACGGCCGCAAGGCUGAAACUCAAAGGAAUUGACGGGGGCCCGCACAAGCGGUGGAGCAUGUGGUUUAAUUCGAAGCUACGCGAAGAACCUUACCAGGUCUUGACAUACUAUGCAAAUCUAAGAGAUUAGACGUUCCCUUCGGGGACAUGGAUACAGGUGGUGCAUGGUUGUCGUCAGCUCGUGUCGUGAGAUGUUGGGUUAAGUCCCGCAACGAGCGCAACCCUUAUUAUCAGUUGCCAGCAUUAAGUUGGGCACUCUGGUGAGACUGCCGGUGACAAACCGGAGGAAGGUGGGGAUGACGUCAAAUCAUCAUGCCCCUUAUGACCUGGGCUACACACGUGCUACAAUGGAUGGUACAACGAGUUGCGAACUCGCGAGAGUAAGCUAAUCUCUUAAAGCCAUUCUCAGUUCGGAUUGUAGGCUGCAACUCGCCUACAUGAAGUCGGAAUCGCUAGUAAUCGCGGAUCAGCAUGCCGCGGUGAAUACGUUCCCGGGCCUUGUACACACCGCCCGUCACACCAUGAGAGUUUGUAACACCCAAAGUCGGUGGGGUAACCUUUAGGAACCAGCCGCCUAAGGUGGGACAGAUGAUUAGGGUGAAGUCGUAACAAGGUAACCA